rnacentral:rRNA from 1 species
UAACUGAAUCCAUAGGUUAAUGAGGCGAACCGGGGGAACUGAAACAUCUAAGUACCCCGAGGAAAAGAAAUCAACCGAGAUUCCCCCAGUAGCGGCGAGCGAACGGGGAGGAGCCCAGAGCCUGAAUCAGCAUGUGUGUUAGUGGAAGCGUCUGGAAAGGCGCGCGAUACAGGGUGACAGCCCCGUACACAAAAGCGCAUGUGCUGUGAGCUCGAUGAGUAGGGCGGGACACGUGGUAUCCUGUCUGAAUAUGGGGGGACCAUCCUCCAAGGCUAAAUACUCCUGACUGACCGAUAGUGAACCAGUACCGUGAGGGAAAGGCGAAAAGAACCCCGGCGAGGGGAGUGAAAAAGAACCUGAAACCGUGUACGUACAAGCAGUGGGAGCACCCUUCGGGGUGUGACUGCGUACCUUUUGUAUAAUGGGUCAGCGACUUAUAUUCUGUAGCAAGGUUAACCGUAUAGGGGAGCCGUAGGGAAACCGAGUCUUAACCGGGCGUUAAGUUGCAGGGUAUAGACCCGAAACCCGGUGAUCUAGCCAUGGGCAGGUUGAAGGUUGGGUAACACUAACUGGAGGACCGAACCGACUAAUGUUGAAAAAUUAGCGGAUGACCUGUGGCUGGGGGUGAAAGGCCAAUCAAACCGGGAGAUAGCUGGUUCUCCCCGAAAGCUAUUUAGGUAGCGCCUCGUGAAUUCAUCUCCGGGGGUAGAGCACUGUUUCGGCUAGGGGGCCAUCCCGGCUUACCAACCCGAUGCAAACUGCGAAUACCGGAGAAUGUUAUCACGGGAGACACACGGCGGGUGCUAACGUCCGUCGUGAAGAGGGAAACAACCCAGACCGCCAGCUAAGGUCCCAAAGUCAUGGUUAAGUGGGAAACGAUGUGGGAAGGCCCAGACAGCCAGGAUGUUGGCUUAGAAGCAGCCAUCAUUUAAAGAAAGCGUAAUAGCUCACUGGUCGAGUCGGCCUGCGCGGAAGAUGUAACGGGGCUAAACCAUG